GUGGCCGCCAAGUACCAUGAGAUGGCCAUGGUGACCUGCAAGAUGAUACUGAAGAUUUAAGUGAAGUGGCUCAACUGAAUCAAGGGGACAUAGUGGUAUUUUCUUCUCUUCUUGAGACUCCUGCUAUAUUUAUCUUGUUACCCAAGAGACCAUGACUCCCUUGCGUACAAAAUCUGAAUUAAGAAUCAUGUCACUGUGAUCUUGUGCAGGUUUAUGAUGUCGAACAGAGGUGUAGCACCGCUGCAGGUGCUUCAUUCUAGGUGUUGCGCAAACACCAUGAGUCCAGGAGGCUGUACAAACGAGUGAGUCGAGUAAUAAAUUCCGUUCGCAGUUAAGUAAUAAACGAGUGAGUCAAUUAAUAUAUUUCGACUCCACUGUGCAGAUUUUGACUCGACGAUGCAGCCGCUGCGAGUCCCUUCGCUGAGAUUCAGAUUUUUUUUCUUUCCCAUUUCAGUGUGUUUGGAUUGGAUGGUAAGAUGCUCUUCUCUUAUCAAAUUUACAUGUAUGAUUCACUGGCUAUCCUUGGUGCUUAUUUACAUAGCUUGCUCAUUUGUUGUGUUUCAGUGGAAGAAUAUACCAGAUGGGAAGAUACUAUGCUUUUAUGAAAUUGUGGUUCUACUGGGUGAAAUUCUUGUUAUAAAGUGGUGGUCUUGCUACUGAAAUAUGGCCUGAGGAUCGAGGAUGUACUUGUUAUUGCGGACGAAUUCCUGCUGUAGAUUUGCAUGUCGAUGGUUGCAAGGUGAUAAUAAUUUCUGUAGGUGUAGACAUAUUUUAGUCACCAAGCUAUGGUUGCACGAUGUAUCAUUUGAAAUGAAGUUAAGAAAUACCAUGUGUCCAUUCAUGUGAUUCUUCCCUAACUGAAGGGUGAUAGUGGGGUUUGUGCGGUAUAAAACGCUUGUAGUUCCAUUUUUACCUUUGAGGCAUAUUUGUUUCCUUGAUCCUUUUCUUGUUGAGCCGACAAAGAGAAGUAGCAGACUAAUUUCUAUGUCGAUUAGAUGAUUAUUUGCUCCCUGUAUGUGGUUUUCUCUGUAUUCUCUAUAUGAGGUUAUUUUGUGAUCCUU
rnacentral:lncRNA from 1 species